UUGUCUCCUCCAGCGCUCUUUGUUUUGCUCGCUAUGGCCAUCUACACCGGAGUGACGGUCAACUUCCUCGGGAAGCGUUUCGGCGACUGGCGUUUCUCAUGGUCCUACAUUCUGGGCUGGGUCGCUCUGCUCAUGACCUUUUUUGCAGGUAUAUUUUACAUGUGUGCCUACAGGAUGCAUGAAUGCCGCAGAGUGGCCGGCCCUCGCUAAAACGCAAGAGAAUGUUUCGAGAAACUCAAGCAAACACUCAAGUGUCUAAACAUGUAUAUACAGGUGUUGGUAAUCUGAUCCCACUUAAAAAAGUACCAGUGCAAGUUGGCAGAAAGAUAAAAUACGCCACAUUCUGAUUCUGCAGGUUUUCACUCAGGAUUUCUUUAGUCUCUAUCCCAACAGAUGCACAUUUAAGAUUAAAAAUAAAUCACACAAUCCUGAAUAAAACUGAAUCACUGUUCAUGCACAGAGAGACAAAAUCUCAAAUAAAAUAUCAGAUUAUUCUCAUCA